rnacentral:rRNA from 1 species
GCAAGUCGAACGAGAAAGCGUCCUUCGGGGCGUGAGUAAAGUGGCGCACGGGCUGUAGNAACACGUGGGUAACCUACCCUACCGGCGCGGGACAACAGCUCGAAAGGGCUGCUAAUACCGCAUACGCUGGUGACGGCCUCGGCUGUUACCAGGAAAGGAUGACCUCUUCUAUGUUAUCGCCGGAGGACGGGCCCGCGUCGCAUCAGCUUGUUGGUGAGGUAACGGCUCACCAAGGCUUAGACGCGUAGCUGGUCUGAGAGGAUGAUCAGCCACACUGGAACUGAGACACGGUCCAGACUCCUACGGGAGGCAGCAGUGGGGAAUAUUGGACAAUGGGCGAAAGCCUGAUCCAGCCACGCCGCGUGUGUGAUGAAGGUCUUCGGAUCGUAAAGCACUGUGGAGAGGGACGAACAGCAGCGGGAACAAUACCCCGCUGUGCUGACGGUACCUCCUUAGCAAGCACCGGCUAACUCCGUGCCAGCAGCCGCGGUAAUACGGAGGGUGCAAACGUUGCUCGGAAUCAUUGGGCGUAAAGCGCGUGUAGGCGGCAAGGUAAGUCGAGUGUGAAAGCCCUGGGCUCAACCCAGGAAGUGCGCUCGAAACUGUCUAGCUAGAGUACGG